rnacentral:rRNA from 1 species
GUGGGGAAUCUUCCGCAAUGGACGAAAGUCUGACGGAGCGACGCCGCGUGAGUGAUGAAGGCCUUCGGGUCGUAAAGCUCUGUCAUCGGGGACGAACGGCCUCAGCAGGUAAUGGCUGGGGAUUGACGGUACCCGAGAAGGAAGCCACGGCUAACUACGUGCCAGCAGCCGCGGUAAUACGUAGGUGGCAAGCGUUGUCCGGAAUUAUUGGGCGUAAAGCGCGCGCAGGUGGGAUCGUAAGUCCAUUUUGAAAGUUCGGAGCUCAAGUACGUGAUGGGAUGGAAACUGGGAUACUUGAGUACCGGAGAGGAAAGCGGAAUUCCCCGUGUAGCGGUGAAAUGCGUAGAUAUGGGGAGGAACACCAGUGGCGAAGGCGGCUUUCUGGACGGUGUCUGACACUGAGGCGCGAAAGCUAGGGGAGCGAACGGGAUUAGAAACCCGGGUAGUCC